CUGUAUGAUGACGUACAUGGAAUCUCGUUCGGCUGAUGACUUGCUGCUGAGACAUGGAAAUCUGAUUUUU